CAUGGCAGUAGGGCUCAAGGGUGUGUGGGUUAGGGGUCGGGGUUUGGCUGGAACUGAGGGUAGGAAAAAAAAGAGGGGGAGGGGGGUCAGGGGACUGGGGAAAGGGCCACUGGAUAGAGGACCCAAAGCCAGAAAAAGCACUUGUUUAUGGUUGAGCUUGCAGCGAGCCAGCGGGGCUGCAAGAGCAGGUUGGAAGGGGAAGGCAGUGACGACAUCGCAGACACUGUCAGGACAUGGAGCUGCUCGCUCUCUGGAAAGCUCUGGAGGAAAACCGCCCUGCGGGGCCAGAUGAAAUGCACUUGAAGGCCAAAGAGAAAGAAAAAAAAAAAAAGCCUACCCUUCAGAAAGUUCUGGAGUAGAGAGUCAGAGCCAAAGUCAUGCAGGAGGUUCACGGAUAUUGUGAAGCCGGGAUUUAUAGAGAUGAAAGGAGAUGCCUUUACAAACUACUACACUUACUGUCACAUAGGACAUGUCUAGGUGUCUGCAGCUUUUACCCUGUCGAUCAAUGGCUUGGCUGACUUCUCCAGGAAAGGAAGUUGUGAAACUUCUAAGGAGUUAGAGGACAGGGUGUGCACACACAGACUUAGCAUUAAAUAAAAAUAAAAUUGGGAGCACUGGACAUUUUCCGAGGCCUUUUUAAAAAAAAAAAAAAGUAUAUGUUUUUAAACAGCAACAGAUCAUGGGUCCUGGGAUAUAUUUUCAUUAGGGAUGGUCCAAUAACUUGCGGGGCUCAUCGUUAUAUUUUAAUCAUAUAUUUAGUAGCCUGUUGAAGGCAGUUUUCAAGAAACAGUAUUCUUAAACAGUAAAUUGUAGAUCGUGCCACACAAGUUUCGUUUCAUGAUCAAGUGAAAUGUUAAACUCUCUUAAAUGCGAGGGCUCAUUUUGACUGAAACUUAAAAUAGUGCAGGUUGCAGAAGUCACUUUUAAAUUUCAAAAGCUCCUUUCAAGGGACACGCUGAUGAUCGCAUUUCAGUUUCCAGUUUUAAAAAACACCAAACAAACCAGGCUCUUGAUGUGGCAGAUGUCUUUGUUUAUACCCCAAAGCUGGGGUGGGGGGGGGGGGGGGGUUAAAGGGAAAAUGUGGAACGGCUUUUUUUUUUAAGUCCCUGGCUCCCCUAAGCCGCGUUGCCUCUGAUGGAUAGACGGUUUUAUGUGGUGAGUGAAGAGUGAAAUGUUUCUCUUCCUGAUUCCAAAGUGUAGACGCGGGAUCAUUCAGAAAAACGCUCGGCGGCUUGCAGGCCCGGAGAAGGCCUGAGUCACCCUCCCUCGCUUGCCUUCUCUUACGGGAACAGUGAGAAGAAGACACGCCUUCCCUGUGUCACAGCCCAAGGUCACAGUCACCAGUGAAUGGAACACAGUUACCUACUUCCAUCCGUCCGCUGAGUCACCUCCGAGGGAACUGUGCCCAGAGAUGCGAACUCGAGUGCGUGAGAGGAGGCUCAGGACGGCCCACUUCUGUCCCAGGUCCACAGACGCCCGGGGACAAAGUUCUCUGCAGAUGAGCCUUCAGAGAUCGUGAACACCACAAAUCUGUAGCAACCGAAGGAACGCAUUCAAGGUGACAAACAUUACCCGAGUGGAGGAUCACUGGUGACUCAACUGAGCCUGGGACCGCUCAUCGGUGACUGUGAGGUUCAACGCCCUUGGAGAUAAGAGGCCUUACUGUAUACAGACUGCGAUUUUGCCAUUUCAGCAAACAUUUAUCGGGCCGCCCGGGUCACCUGCUUCCUUUGACGGCCCCGAACCGUUCUGACAGAUAUCAGCAACCCAUUUCAGCCCCCGCUGUGUCCGUUUCUUCGCGGGCGGCGCCAGCCUGCGCCUUCUUGGAAGAUAAGCUUCCAGGUGAUCGUGAUGGACAACCUCACAGGCACACCUGACUGAUUCCGGGCCCUCAGGCAGGACGAUCUCCAAGGAGGAAUCCAUGGAGCUGGUGUAGAUACUACACUGACGUUUUACUAAGA